GUAAAAAUACUUCCCAUUUGUUUAAAAUCAAGUCCUCAAGAUGGAGUGGUAUUUUCAAACUCCAGUGAGCUGGAGCCUCAGAACUAGAGAACUGGAUCACAGAGUUAGUCCAGCACAUACUUCCGCUUUGCUAUACCUUCCGUUUUUGUCUAGUACCACUUGCUAGUGAAAUAUCUGUUCUGAGUCUUUCCAAAGACAACCACAUCCAAGUGGGGAGAAGGCCGACAUUCGGGGUGCUAGAAGGGUGGAGUGGCAUGAUUCAGAUCAACGGGGCUGACUUUCCACUGUUUCACCUCACUUGCACCGUAGAGACCAGUUCUGGGACUCCUCAGUUGACAGAUGUGGAGACCCAGAGUCAAGGAAUGAUGGUCCCCUAGGACCCCUGGGGAAUUUCACACAACCAGUCAGCACCUGGCUGCCAUCAGCCUAAGGCUGUGUCACUCAAGAGGGCUUCCUCUCCAGAUGAAUAAAAGCUGAUUUGAAAGUCAAACACAUAUCAAAACCCGGCAUGUUUUCAAACACCACGACCGACACUUGAUUUGUGUUUCCUGAAGCCACCCCAGUGAGCCACUAUGAAAUAAAUUAAAAAGAAUGGUCAAGGCUGAAUGCACACUGAGGUUUCCAUGUGCUCAGCUCAGCAGAUUCAGCGGCCAGUUCUGGGAGAAAUAUUGGAAGGCACGCUGCACCUUUCUUCACAAUGGGAUCAGCAGGUGAAAGCAAGACGUUUGAAUGGAGUGGAGUGUUUCACUUAAUCAUUAGCACUGCUGACAUCAAUGAAAAACAAACAAUGCGUAUCGUCGGCAUGGGCACCUACGGUGGCAUCUUUUUGCCCACUUUGACUUGCCUGGCCUGUUUCAGACUCAGGACUGGCACGGCAUUGGCAAGUUUAUGGUUUUACAAACCCUGAAGCACGAUUUGCAAUAAAUGAUGAAGACAUUAAAAAUACUGCAUGCAAACACCACGGUCUUGAACAAGGACAGGACUUUGGAAUUGUAAGAGUGGAAAGGCACUGAUGGUCCAAACACCUGUCCUCCAGUUUGAAACCAGCUGGGAAGUCUUCCCUGACUGUUCUCCCUCAGCGGGCUGGGAUGGACCCUCGUGCAGAGCCCCAAGCAAGCCUCUGUCCAGACCCUCACCACACCGCACCGUAACUGUGUUCACUGGCCUCUAGUCCAGGAGCCUCAAGGCCAG